rnacentral:lncRNA from 1 species
CAUCUUCACCAAUUAAGAACAAUCCGUAGCAAACGUGACCUGAUAUUGAUGUAAAUUCCUCAUACACUCCAUCGCCCAUAUUAACGCUUCCAUCUCCGAAUGGAGGGGUAAAAGACUUGCCCGAAUAUUCCUUGCACCCAACAAACCAUCGAAUCCCUCAAGAAUACUAUACCAACCCUAGCCUGAAUAAUGCUCUUUAUCUUUCCACGAACCAUCUAUAAAGCACCAGCGACCUGCCC